GUGAACAGUGAGGAGAUCGUGCGGCUGCUCAUUGAGCAUGGAGCUGACAUCCGGGCCCAGGACUCCCUGGGAAACACAGUGUUACACAUCCUCAUCCUCCAGCCCAACAAAACCUUUGCCUGCCAGAUGUACAACCUGCUGCUGUCCUACGACAGACAUGGGGACCACCUGCAGCCCCUGGACCUCGUGCCCAAUCACCAGGGUCUCACCCCUUUCAAGCUGGCUGGAGUGGAGGGUAACACUGUGGUGAGAGACGGUCCCCAUCCCUGAGGUGUCUUUCUAAUGACCCUCAACCUAUCCUGCUGGCCCUGGGAGAAACAGAGGUGAACGCGAUCCCUGAUGCUUAGAUCCCAUUCUCAACUCAGAAAUUUUUCAACCCCUCCCACUCUGGUUACCUGUUCCCUUUCUUGCCCACUCCUUUUCCCCUGAGGCAUUGGGGGUUACAGAGUCUAGAUCCCAUGCUGGGAUUGUCUGUAAUGCCCCAGCCCACCUUCCCUUUCAGCCCCCAGAGCAGGGCCCUCCAGCCUCUCGUCUCCCCUU
rnacentral:sRNA from 1 species